UUUUAGUGCCUAAUGUGGUGUUCUAUCAAGAUAAAAGUACAGAGAACAAUUUACAUGAUUUCAAGCGUUUUGAUCUAGACUCAUUCUUUGAGCAACGUUUUUCACCAACUAAUUCUCAAUCUGCAUAAACAAUCCAAAGGUGGUGGUGCAAGAAGAAAACAACUGCCACCAAUAUUGUUAUUUUGAUCAGUCAGUUAUAAACCUUUAUGUAUUUGGGGAUUUCUAUACAGAUUUUAUUUUCUUUUG